rnacentral:rRNA from 1 species
ACAGAGGGUGCAAACGUUGUUCGGAAUUACUGGGCGUAAAGCGUGUGUAGGCGGCCACGUAAGUUGGAUGUGAAAGCCCAGGGCUCAACCUUGGAAGUGCAUUCAAAACUGCGUGGCUUGAGUAUCGGAGAGGUUGGUGGAAUUCUCGGUGUAGAGGUGAAAUGCGUAGAGAUCGAGAGGAACACCAGUGGCGAAGGCGACCAACUGGACGAAAACUGACGCUGAGGCGCGAAAGCGUGGGGAGCAAACAG